UUUGGUGUUAUAUAGAACCCUUUUCAAAACCAUUCUAUACAGAACCAUAUGCAACUCAUUCUCCAUCAAUUUCCUGCUGAAAAGAACAAUUUAGUCAUGCAACGGCUUUUUUCAACACUCAUGUUUCUAUAUAAAAUUUAAAGACCUAAAGAAUCUAAAUUCCUAAAGAACCCUCAAAGAGCCAUCUUUUUGUAAGAGUGGACUCAUUCAGUGGUCAAGCAGGGUUAUGGUUCACCAGCCAACAGGAACAAGCACAUCACGAUUGACCUCGGGACGGGUAACAAGAUCAACUGGACCAUGGAGGACAAGCAGGAGAUGAUAGACAUAAUGGAGACCGUCUACAGGGGAGCCAGGAAAUGACGAGGUCUGGUGGUGUCCCUCCAGACUACUCCACCAAAUACAGAUACUGAUGCCCCCUCUUUCAUUCA